CAAAAAAGAAUGAUGAACAUAUUUUUAUUUAUCGAUGGUUCUGCACCAAAAAGUUGUUAAAAGAGAUCGUCUUCUGUCACAUAGUGCUCAUUUGACAUGUGCUGCGUGAGGGGAACGUUCGUCUGUGUGUACCAAGCGGAGGCGAAUCGCCGGCAGCGUUCGAAUAGUUUCAAAGGAUUCUCGUCCUGUAUCACCAAACAUAGUUAUCUACACACCGUCCUGCCGUCAUCAUUAGGACGAAAACAUAAUGGAAUGCAUAAUGGAAGGUCAUUAUUAGGACGAAUACAUAAUGGAAUUAUUAAUCAUAAUGGUAAAAUGCCCCCGGUUAAUGUGUAAUAUGCCCCACAAUAAGAGGAUGGGAAUACCCCACAGCAAUCGGAAACGCUCUUCAGCCACAGCCAAUUUUGACGACGCCUGGAAGUGCUUUGUAUACUAAAGUUUCUGCAAAGUGUGUAGCACCUACAAGAAUAUUCGAGACGCACUUUUCGUUGGAUAGAUUUGACCAAUAUUUUUUUAGGAAAUUGAAAGUUCAUAGUUGCUUUUAUACAAUCAUGUCCUUAUAUUUAUUAUACAGAUAAAUUUCAUUC